rnacentral:lncRNA from 1 species
AAUCCUUAGCAAAGCUAGAAAAAGUAGGAGGAGAAGAAGAACAGGCCAGCUCUUCAUUGGAUCCAACCUUCUUUCUUGAAGAAGAAGAACAGUAAUCUGACAAGUAGGUCCUUCCAAAUGCCUCUUCAGCAACCAGCUCAGCAAACCCAUGUCAACAAGUCAGCAUCAGAUACCCUUCUACUUACAACAACAAAAGACUCCACUAUCAAAUUCCAAAGCAUUGUCUACUAUGCUCACAUUGGAUGCCCCAACAGAGGCUA